GGGGGAGAAAAGAUACGGCAGGACAGAAGGCUUAUGUCCUGUUUCUCCGUUUUGUUCAGCAGAAACAAUGCUCCAUUUUGACUACAGGGCAAGCGUGGCACCACAAGUGAAGGAGGCCCUGUUGUGGAAAAAGUCCCCAGGACCAGGAUUAAGAAACAAUGCCAUAGAGACAGCCAUAGGUCCAGACAACAGGCCCUCCGAUUUAACACAGUGGACCCUAUCUGAGAAGUAGUUGGUAAACCAGUGCAUCAUGGGAUGUGUGGCCGUCAACACUGUUACUCGGCACUGCUCCAGGAUGUUUCCAUUCCAGCAUCUAAUUCAAAUGCCGCUCUGCGGCUCUGAGAUUAAUCCUUAAUCUCCAUUGGAUGACAGCUGCACGUGCCUCCACCGAACCAGGCAUAUAUGAGAGGUUGGCCAAUGUGGCUACCUCAUGAUUCUCCUGGUCUGUGUUGACUGGAACACCUGGGGAAGCCUCCAUUAACCAUCGGCUCUUGGCAAAAUUGAACCUUUCCCAUUCGCAAUUUUCUUGUCUGCUUGUUCCAGUCAAUUCAAGGACGGAACAUUACAACCACUCGUGGUGCAAGUUAUUUGGACCAGAUGUCCCACCGGUCUAAUGCCGAAUCGCCUGGGGCCACAGGGCCAAUCUCACAGGAAGCAUUCUAGGGGGCGGAGACUGACUGACCAGUGAGGGAGAGGCGCAGCAUGGCAAGGGCGUGGCUGACGGGAGGUCGACCCAUG